UAUUGUGUGUAAUAAAAAUUAUAUAAAAAAUAUUUCACAUUUUAAUCCUGUUUUAUUUUUUUAUAGAAUCGUGAUAGAGAAUCGUGAUUUUUUGUCAGACACGCUUAUUCAUCAUUAAAAUUGUUUACAACUAUAAUAGUAUAAAAAGGAACAUUUUGACGUAAAAUGCCACAAGUUGAAAAUUAUUUGACAACUGCGACUAUUCUCUGCAAGAAACAUGAAAAGGAGUCAUACCAGCGCAUUUUCUAUAUUUUUGAUGAUCACGAUAUUGUUAAUCUCAACUGUUAUCACGAUGGUAGCUACUGAAUCAGACAACGUCAUAACCGUUCCGGAACAGUGUCCUCCUGGUCAGAGAGAAGAUAGUCGCGGAAAAUGCCGCGAAGUUAUAGAAUGAGUUGAAGUACAGAAGGAAUAAUGGAGAGAAUUAUAAAUAACAUUAUACAGGAUGUCUCAUUUGAAAUGAUCCACGCAUAGUGACAGGACAAGUUCUUUACCACUUCCUCCCUCCAUUUCUUGAGAAUUAUAAAAAAAACUGUUAAUUAAGAAUCGUGACUUUCUUGUCAGAUACGUUUAUUUUUCAUUAAAAUUGUUUAUGACUUUAAUAGUAUAAAAGGGAACAUUUUGACGCAAAAUGCCACAAGUUGACAAUUAUUUGACAACUGCGACUAUUCUCUGCAAGAAACAUGAAAAGGAGUCAUACCAGCGCAUUUUCUAUAUUUUUGAUGAUCACGGUAUUGUUAAUCUCAACUGUUAUCACGAUGGUAGCUACUGAAUCAGCAGGCUACAUCAUACAAGUUCCAGCACGGCCUGAGUGUCCUUCUGGUCAGAAAAAAGAUAACCGCGGACAAUGCCGCGUACUUGUAGGAUGAGUUGAAGUACAGAAGAUACACAAAAAUGGAUAAUAACGCGGUUGCAGUUUAGAUUUGGAACAUCAAAAAAUAAUUACAAGUGCAUAUUGUAAUAAGCAAAUAUAAAUAUACGCCGUGACAGU